GCGACUCAAACUCAAGUGGCAGAGCACCGGACCCUUAAUCCGCAGGUUCCGGGUUCGAGUCCCAGGGGGCGCACCA
rnacentral:tRNA from 1 species